rnacentral:snRNA from 1 species
GUGCUCGCUCUGGCAGCACGUAUACUAAUAUUGGAAUGAUAUAGGUUUGCAAGGCCUCUGUGCAAGGAUGACAUGCAAAUUCAUGAAGAAUUGUAGGAGCAG